UACGUAGGGGGCAAGCGUUGUCCGGAUUCAUUGGGCGUAAAGAGCGUGUAGGCGGCCAGGUAGGUCGGUUGUGAAAACUGGAGGCUCAACCUUCAGAGGUCGACCGAAACCAUCUGGCUAGAGUCCGGGAGAGGAGAGUGGAAUUCCUGGUGUAGCGGUGAAAUGCGCAGAUAUCAGGAAGAACACCCGUGGCGAAAGCGGCUCUCUGGAACGGUACUGACGGCUGAGACGCGAAAGCGUGGGGAGCGAACAGG
rnacentral:rRNA from 1 species